GUGCUGACUCCAGCCCAGGUACUAAAAUUGGAACAAUAAAGGAGAUUUGUGUGGCUUCAGUGUGAGGAAGACACACAGAUUAAUGAAUCCAUCUAUAUUUUU
rnacentral:snRNA from 1 species